GAGUUGGUGGUGGCAGAGACUUAUAAACUGGUGCGGGAUUGAUAUAGCUCCUUGGGUGUGGAGGCGAUAUGUAGACUAGGGUUGGUGGAGGUGGUGACUUGUUGACUGGGUGUGUGGAGGGUAGUAAGGCUCCUUAGUAGUGGUGGCGACUUGUAAACUGUAGUCGGUAGAGGCGGUGACUUGUAGAUUGGGGUAUGAGGAGGGUAGUAUGGCUCCUUAAGUGGUUGUGGUGACUUGUAAACUGGAGUCGGCGAAGGUGGCGACUUAUAGACUGGGUGUUUGGAGGGUAGUAAGGCUCUUUGGGUGGGGGUGGCAACGUAUAAACUUGAGUUAGUGGAAGUGGUGAUUUGUAGACUGGGUGUGUGGGGGAUAGUAUGGCUCCUUAGGUAGUAGUGGUGAUUGGUAAAUAGGAGCCGGUGGAAAUGGCGACUUAUAGACUGGGUGUGUGGAGGGUAGUAAGGCUCUUUUGGUGGGGGUGACGACUUGUAAACUGGAGUUGAUGGAGGUGGCAAUUUGUAGACUGGGGUGUGUGGAGGAUAGUAUGGCUCCUUGGGUGGUGAUGGUGGUGACUAGUAAAGCGGAGUUGAAGGUGAUGGUGAUUUAUAAAGUGGUGCAGGAUGAUAAGGUGUUGGUGAAGGAUGGUAUGGCUCUUUUGGUGAUGGUGGAGAUAAAUAUUGAUAAUUUGCUGAGCUUUGGGAAGCCAAGCAAAGUGACACAAAAACCACUAAAAGAGUGGAAAAUAGAGAGGCCAUUUCUCCCAAAAAGAAACAAAGGAGAGAAGUUGUUGUCCCUUUAAGCUGCACUCAAAGCCCUUUGUAUAGCUUUCAUUUAGAAGGUAUAAGGCUAAAGUUAUGUAUUUUUAAUUAGUUUUGUCAUGUUGUCGGUUCAAUUUGACCUUUGUUGGUAUACUUUUUUUUUUUUGUUGGAUAGAAGGUGCAAGCUAAGCAAAGAAAUUAACUACUAUGGCAGCUAUACUAUUUAUGAUGCAAUAAUUCAAAAAAAAAUACGUGGAUCCCACAACUUCCCACAAGAUUUUAGUUAUAGGAAUCUGAGCACUUUUUUUUUACACUUAGGGUGUGUAUGGUACGAUGGAAAAUAUUUUCUGAAAAAUGUUGGUUGUAGUAAAAAAUAUUUUCUAAGAUAAUUCAUUUUUUCCUAUUUGAGGGAAAAUGACUUCCCUCAUGGACCAAGGGAAGUUAUUUUUCGGAAAAUGAUAAAUGUGACUUAUGCCCCCAUCCUCACCCCUCUUCCCACCCCAACAACACUCAUAUUCACAUAACUCAAAAAAUUCACAUUUUUAAAAAAUUUAUUUUACUCAAAAUAUUUUUCACUGUGCUUUGCUUCAAUUUUUCACUGCUUGAAAUAAAAAAUAGUGAAGCCCGACUUUUUUUCAUUUCCAAUGUUCGUUGAAUGUAUUGUUAUUUUCAUAUGCAUAGAGGAAGACUUACCUAUGUUACUUUUGCUAAUUGCAUAUUUUAUUUUGUCAUCGAUGUUACUUCUUUCACGAGGUUGAAUAAGCUUAUCGUCCCGUUAUAUUUCUAUUGAUUGUAGUAUCUUGAGAUUGUCCUGAAAAAAUGUUGAAAAGUGUCUCCUAUAUUUGCUAAUUAAUAGUUGCUUAAAUUUAGUGAUUGUAAUAUUUUAGUAUUCGAUAUUGAUAUUAUUUAUUAUGCUUAAAUUAGUUCUUACAAAUUGUUGAGUUGCUAGAUGCACUGAUAUACUAGUUAACAGUUAGUAGUAUUUUCUAAAAAAAAAAAUUUCACUCACCAAUCAAACACUAGAAAAUAUUUUUCUAAAAAAUAUUUUCUACUCACCAACCAAACACCAUAAAAUAUUUUUCGAAAAUAUUUUUCACUCACCAACCAAACAUGAGAAAAUAAAUAGAAAACCAACUUAUUUUCCAAGAAAACAUUUUUCAUGAAAAAUAUUUUCCAUCGUACCAAACACACCCUUAGUAUUUGAAGAAUUCAAUUCUUGUGGAUUCUGACAGCUUAACUAACCUUCACUUAAGUGCUGAGAAAUUUAAAACAAUAUGUAUACAGUAUCAUAUAUUCUUUAAAAGAAAUGAUAUGUCAUUGUUAAAAGAGUUUAAUCUAGAGAAAACUGUGCAUGUGACUCGCUUUCAUUACCAACUAAAUCAAUUAUGUUCUUUCCUUUUGUGUAGUAGAGCUAAAAGAAACAUCAACCGAUUAUUUUGUAGCUCAAUGUUGAAAACUUAUGUGGUUCAAUAUGAUAUCUCUGAAAAUUUUACAGCUUGUUUGAUAGCUGCUGCCUAAUAAUGUAUUGUAUCGUGUUGCUAGUUUAAAUAUAAUGUGUAUUUUGAUUGUUUCUUAAAUUUUACUGUAUCAUUAAAUCUAUAACUAGAUAGCAAUAAAAAGUCUCAUUUGGUGUAACGACCUAUUUGAUGUGAUCGCGUUGUUACCUUUUUUCCCCUUUUUAUUUAUUAUUUAAUUAUCUUAAUGCUCCUUUAUCCUAUAUUUUUAUAGUAACUCUACCUCACAUUUUUCUAUUUUCCUUCUAGGCUUAUCCUUGAACUGUUAUAUGAAGGAUGCAAUGUAAUGACGAAAAAGGUAUAAUAAAUCCAAAUAUCGUAACAUUCACUAAAAUAAUAAAGUACAUACAAUACAACAUGAUACUUUAUGAAACAAUAUCAUUCCAAGUUAAGGACUUGAUUAGAAUGUGCAUGUUAAGUGUCUGAUGGGUUACUUAAGUAUAAAGUUCAAGUCCAUAUAAAAAGAUAAACCCUAAUUAUAAUGCCUUCAUCAUGGCUGGUCGACAGUAGUCUACUACUGAAUUUCCUCCUUUGAACCCAAAUUCUAUUGUGAAUAUCCAAACCCUACCGUUGGAUAAAUCUUUUGUUGAAUCAAUCAGUACAACAAAGUUGGACACCGUCUCUCGCAAAGAGGUGGUCAUGGUGGAAGGAAUCCCGAAUGUCACACUGAAAAAAGUGGAUACAGUGAAUAAAAUGGAGAAUUUGCAAUUUGUUGUCAUAGGUAAAUUCACUUAAGAAUGGACGGGUAUAGAAGAAUUAAGGAAUAUUAUCCCACAGCAAUGCAACAUUAAUGGUGAUUGUCAAAUUGGAGUAUUCAGAAAUAAACAUAUUUUCAUUCGUUAGACACAGGAGUCGGAUUUUAUUAAUAUCAUCAUCUCAAAGGGAGCUUUUUCCUUGCACUGUAAGGAUGGGUUCUCUUAUUUGAUGCGAACACUCUCACACUUAUCUAUGAUCCCCUUUUCAAAGAAACUUUAGAGACUACAAAGACUUUCGCAUGGAUUUCUUUCCCAAAUCUAUUGCCUACCUAUUAUGUCAAGGAAUGUUUGUUUUCUUUAGCUGCAACAGUGGGAAAGCCUGUCCAACUUGAUCUAGCCACCAUUAAUAGGACUAGACCAAGUUGUGCAAGGAUUAAGGUCUUGGUUGAUCUAAAAGCUGAUUUCUCUAAAUCAGUCCGGAUGGAUAUUGAAAAUGAAGAGUCAGGUAAAUGCAGGACAAUAGUGAAGCGGAUUAAAUUCGACCAUAUUCCUAAGUAUUGUCAUGAAUGCAAUAUGCAAGUUCAUGCUAAGAAUCAAUGUAGAAACUUAGGCACCCCAGAGGAUGCAACAAUGGCAGUAACAGUGGAUAAUAAGGAAUAAAAGAGGCCAGUACAACAUCUUCCUAAAUUCACAAUGCCUUUUGUACACAAAUUUCAAAACGGAAAAGCAUGAGUUCUUUCGAGUGGGAUUGUAGUUGGAGAUCCUACUAACUGGAUGGUUAUUAAAAAUGAUAAGAGGAUAGUUAAUACUUCCCAACAGCCUCUUUUAAUGAUAUAGUUAAUACUUCCCAACAGCCUCUUUCAAUGACAAAUAACCAAUUUGCUGCUCUAGCUACCGACGACAAAGAACCUGCUGAAUUAAACAUUUCGACAAAGGAGAGUUCAAACCUUAAGGCAUGUACGGAUGUGUUCCAAAUAAUAAGGAAAAUGAAAAAGUUAAUCUGUGGUCCAAUAAAGAAUCUGCUAAAGAGUGGGUAUCAAGGGAUUUUGGCAAGCUAGGUGAAGUUCCCAAUUCUGUAAUACCUGUACAGCAACAAGGCAGUCAGCAACUAAGUAAUCAACAACAAAGGCAAGAUAGAGAUAAUAAUGCUAAAGAGAAUAAUAAAGAUGGUAAUGGGAUGGAGAAUGAUAUGCAGGUUAAAUCUUUAAUAAAUCAGGAGCAUAAUAUUGAUGAUGGUCAGCAACAAUGCCUCAUAGUCAAAAAGGACAAUCUGCAAUCUAUAGAAGAUGUGCAACCAGAUACCAAGCAAUAGUCAAUGCAGAUUAAUCAAGAUUUUUACAGUGGAAGCUAUGAUAAUGGAGAUAGGUCAGUUGAGGAAAGUGUGGGGAUAACAGUUGUGAUGCAAGGGGAACAAAAUGUGUGUUUAGAAAUAAUGGAGAUUCCAAAACCAGUGCAGAUAGAUGAAUCAUUUAUCGUUACCAAGAGUUCUCCCAACAAAGUAAUACAUGACAUUGUCUCUCAUAGUUUAGGGUACAUUAAAUGCAGUAAUCAAACUCACAUGGCCAAAGGAGUUAAAGAAGUAGAUGUAGAAGAUGAUUCGAAGGAUCAUGCUCCAUCGGAAGCUGAUUUAUCACCAAGACUGAUGAAAAUCUCUAAAAAAGGAUAAAAAAGAAUGUGGAUGGGAGAAAACUCACAACCUACCAGAGUUCAUCCUAAGCGAUCCAAAUCUGCCCUAAAUUAUCAAUGAAAGCACUUAUUUGGAACAUUAGGUCUGUGAAGACACAACAAGAUUUCAAAGACUUCAGAUGCUUAAUAAUUAUCAUAAGUUCACCGGUUUCAGUUUGUUAGAGCCUUUUCAGAAUGUUAGAUAUAAGAGAAGAUUGAAAAUGCAUAGGGCUAUGUCAAACUGCAAUAGCAAGAUUUGGUUUUUCUCCUCUCAAGAUGUGAUAACAACUGUUAUUAAAGACACUGAUCAUCAGCUACAGUUCACUUGCAGGAGUAGGCUCAGAGCUUAGAUUUAUUACUCUUGUUUAUGCAAAGUGUUCUAAAGAGGAGAGAUUAAUCUUAUGGAAGGAUAUUUAUCAAGUUGCUUCUGGAAUUUCAAAACCUUGGAUGCUAGGAGGAGAUUUAAUGUUGUUUUGAAUUCUGAAGAGAAAAUUGGUGGCCUUCCAAUUCUUGAUGCAGGCCAUGGGGACUUUCAAUCAUGUAUUUCUUAUUGUGAUUUGAUGGAGAUACCUUUUAAAGAAAGUUCUUUCACUUGGUGGAAUGGUAGAGCAGGUAAUGACUGUAUUUUAGAAAGAUUGGAUAGAAUUUUUACUAAUCAACAACAACAACAACAACAACAACAACAACAACAAACCCAGUGUAUUCCCACCUAGUGGGGUCUGGGGGGGUAAGAUGUACGCAGUCCAUACCUCUACCUCUGCUGAAUUUUUACUAAUCAAGAUUUACAAAAUAAGUUCAAUCACAUGAAGGUAGAACAUCUUGCUACUAGUUCAGAUCAUGCUCCCAUGUUGUUGUAUUGUUAUGACAGAGCUAUCAGUUACAAGAAAUCUUUUAGAUUUCUUAAGUUUUGGACUGAUCAUCCUAAGUUCCUAGAAGUAGUAAGGCAGAAUUGGUGUUCUUCAGGUUCUCAGAGUCCAUUCUUAGAUUUCAAAGCAAAGAUUAAGAGAAUUAAAGUUGCUUUGACAAGAUGGAGUAAAGAGACUUCUGGGGAUAUUUUUAAAUAGUUGAUAAUCAGGGAAGAAAUUGUCAAGAUCAAAGAGAAAUUAUUUGAGGAAUGCCCUACGGCUGAUAACAGCGAAGUGUUGCAAAGAGCUCAGUCCGAGCACAAAAUAUAUCUUCGUUUUGAAGAGAUUUUUUGGCAGCAAAAAGCAGGUUAUGACUGGUUUGAGAAUGGUGACAGAAAUAUUAAAUUUUUUCAUAGCACUGUGAAGGGGAGGAGGAAAAGAUUGAAUUUGAAUAGAAUUCAAAUUAAUCAGGGUAUUUGGCUGGAUAAAGAAGAAAAGAUAGCCGCAGAGGUUGUUAUGUUUUAUCAGGACCAAUUUAGACAAGAACAAGAGGCUAAUGUUUUUUCAUAACUGAAUAAUAUACCUAAGAGUAUUUCUGAUGAGCAAAAUAUUGUUUUAAGUCAGUAAGCUGAUCUUGAAGAAGUUAAAAAGGCACUUUUUAGCUUAAAUGAAUAUAGUGCAAGUGGCCCGGAUGGGUUAACAAGUAGGUUCUAUCAGGUUCGCUGGGAUAUUAUUGGUAAUGAUGUUCUUAAUCUGGUGCAAGAUUUCUUAAAAGGUAAUACUCUUCCCAAAUUCAUUAUUCAUACUAAUUUGGUGUUGCUUCCCAAGAAGGAUUUUAUUCAAUUUUUCUCAGAUUUGAGACCAAUUAGUCUUAAGUAAUUUUAUUAAUAAGAUCAUUUCUAGGAUUGUGCAUGACAAAAGUGAACUUCUUUUGCCUAGACUGAUUUCUUUUAAUCAAUCUAAAUUUGUCAAAGAGAGAAGAAUUAUUAAAAAUUUCCUCCUGACUCAAGAGAUAGUUACUGACAUCAGAAAAAUGGGUAAGCCGGCUAAUGUGGUCUUAAAGCUUGAUAUGACUAAGGCUUAUGAUAGGGUUUCCUGGUUUUUCCUGAUGAAGGUUCUAAGAAAAAUAGGGUUCUCAAAAUUGUUUAUGGACUUGUUUUGGAGAUUAUUGUCUAAUAAUUGGUAUUCUAUACUAAUUAAUGGGCGAUCACACGGCUUUUUUCACUCAACUAGGGGAGUAAAACAAAGAAAUCCUUUAUCUCCAGCUUUCUAUUUGAUGAUGCUCAAUAUGUAGGUUAUGAUAUGCCAAAGUGGAGUUCCAAUAUUAAUCAUCUUGCUUAUGCAGAUGACACUAUUAUAUUCGCUGCAGCUAACAGAUACUCUUUGAGAAAGAUUUUUUCAGUGUUACGGGAAUAUGAAACUCAAUCAGGGCAAAAAGUUAAUAAAGAGAAGAAUGCUUUCUACAUGCAUCAGAAUUCAGCUGCAGUUGAUAAACAAAUGGUGGAAGAUUGUGCGGCUAUUUCUAAAGGCCAAUUUCCUUUGAAAUACCUUGAAUGUCCUAUCACUCAUGCUAGAAAAAGAAAGAGUCAUUAUUCAGAGCUAAUUCAGAAGGUUAAGUCAAAAUUACAGGCUUGAAAAGGUAAUAUUCUCUCAUAUGGGGGGAAAGGAGGUCCUUAUCUCUAGUGUUCUUCAAAGUGUUCCUAUACAUAUCCUUUCUGUUGUUGUCCCUCCUAUUUGUGUAUUGAAGGAGCUUCACAGAAUAUUUGCAAAUUUUUUUGGAGUAAUAAGGCCGAUGGAAGAAACAAACACUGGGCUGCUUGGGUAAAGGUGUUUUUACCAAAACAGAAGGCAGUUUGAGUUUUAGAUCGAUGUUUGAGGUAUCUCAAGCCAUGUAUCCUAAGUUCUGGUGGAAGUUCAGAACUCAAAAUACUACUUGGUCCAACUUUAUAUGAGACAAGUAUUGCAAAAAGCAAAUACCUUCACUAGUUUAAUGGAAAGGUGGCUCGCAAGUAAGGAAGCAUAUGUUGCAAAAUAGGGAUCUAGUGGAGCAAUUCUUGUGGUGGAACCUAAAGGAGGUACUUCUACAGUUUGGUAUGAUAAUUGGACUCAACUUGGUCCUCUUUUCAAACACCAGGUAGAGGUCAUUCUUCUUUUCCAGUGAUGGAUAUUGAGGAAUUCAUGUUGGGCUCAGACUGGGAUUUUGAGAAUAUGCAAUAUCAUUUAUCAGAUAAUGUAGUAGAGCAUGUAAGAUUACAUUUGAGGCUUGUACGACAUCCUGGAGAAGGUGACAAGCCCUGGUGGAUUAAAUUUAGUUCUGGCAAGUUCUCGGUUAAAAGUGCUUGGGAAGAACGGAGGAAAAAAACGUUUGUAAUGAGUCAUUUCAGAAGAUCUGGGUAAAAGAGAUUCCUUUCAAAAUUUCUUACUUUGGUUGGAGAGUUUGGACAAAUAGGAUUCCUGUAGCCUCUGUUUUAGCUAAUUGGAAUCCUAACUUGUCUCCUCUUUAUUCAUAUUGUGUUUCAAGAAAUCAUGGAGCACCUCUUUCUAAAAGGUGAAGUGGUUUAUUUCGGUUUGGAUUUAUUACGCCAAUGCUGCAGGUAUUCUGGGGCCCUGGGUUCAAAUUAAACUAUCCAUAAAGAAGUGGUGGGAUAUAAAUGGUAAUUAAAGACAAAGAUUCAUCUUUCAGGUAGUUCCUACUCUCAUUUUGUGGUUUUUACGGAAAAGAAGGAAUGCAUUAGUUCAUGGAGGUUCAUACUCUACAGCCAAGGUUAUUUGGGAUAUUAAUGGUUUAAUUAAGAAAAUUCUCAGAAAGAAGUUUGGUUAUGAUCAGUUACCAUCUAGUUGGCCUCAAAUAGUUGCUUUUUGACUUAUUUAGACCUACAUUUUUAUCUAGAUGGAUAAGAUGGUAUCCCCCACCUAGGGGAUAGUGGAAAUAUAACACUGAUGGAACCUCGAGAGGUAAUCUAGGUCGAAUUUCAGCUGAUUUUUGUGUACGAAAUCAUGUAGGUGAUCUUGUGUAUGCUAAGGGUUUCUCUAUUCCAGAUUCCACUAAUCUGGUUGUUAAAGUCAUUGCUAUAGGAGUUGGUUUACAUUAUUGCUUAGAAAAUCAAAUUGUCAACAUUAUUGUGGAAUCUGAUUCCCUUGUAGUAGUCAACAUGAUUAAUGGAGUGUGGGAAAUUCCUUAGAGUGUGAUAAUGGAGGUCAACUCCAUUAAAGAUAUGAUGGAUUCUUGUUCAGCAAGAGUACAACACUCCUUAGGAAAGGGAAAUACUCUUGCUGAUUAUUUAGCUAACUUGGUUUUUCAUUUUGCAGGUAACUUUGAAUUCAACAGUUUUCAUGAAAUUCCAAGCGCAGGUAGGAAGAUUAUCAAUCUAGACAAACAAGGCAUUCCACAAAUGAGGAUAAGACAGUGUACAUCAACUAAUUCAACAAGGGAUGGAUCGCUACUGCAGAUUACAAAGUGAAUUUACAAACUCUAUUAGCAGUGACUAGUUACUGGUGAAUUUAGUGCAGUCUGAAUUAGUUUCGUUUGGUUAACAUACCAUGCACCUGUGGGAAUUUUUAGGUGUUACAUAGAGUAUAAACCCAGGACUCACUUAUACUAGUUGCUAAUUUCUAGGUAUAGAGUUUAUAAAAAUCAAGCACAAAUUUAGAGGCAUUUCAUAGUCUCAAAUCUGUUGAUGAGGAGAGGAUGGAGUACCCGGGACCUCAAAUUUAGCGGCGGAAGAUAGACAGGGUAUAAUUAUCAAGCAAUACAAUUCUUUUAUACAGAUUCCACUUCAGAGAAGAACAAAAAUAAUCAUUGCCAACUUAUGGAUUGCAAAGUGUCAAAAUACAAAUUUCAGCAUUUGGAGUAACACAAGAAGGCAAGGAGCAAGAUAAGUAUUAAUGGACAGUAGUGGUGAUUAACAUUCACUAAUACUGAUUGAUUUCUAAGUCAUACAAUUGAAAUGGGGGUUAAGGUGAACCUGUUAGUUCUGGAUCCUUGGUGGUGGUAUCAAUCUCCUUGAGGUUUAUUCCGCUAGGAAAAAGAGAGAACAGUGAAAUCAUUUUUUUCAUUUCACAGAUGAGUUUAGAAUAGAAAAAGGGAGGUGACUUACCAUAUCAUCUGCAAUAAAUAUUUAUUGAUUUGGAGCUGUAGAAAUUUAGUUGAAACCAAUUUCAUGAAGUUUGUAAGAGAUUAAAGUGUCUUAGUGAAAUUUGAUGGAUGUUCCAUGGCAAUAAUGGCUUCCACAACUUAAUGCAACAACCAGAUGAGGUUGGAGUAGCAAAGAUUGAAACCAUAGUUGCCUCUCCGUGAUGUCUUUCAGCUUUGAGUUUUAUCCACACAUUCCUUUUCCUGCUUACAUUUUCUGUUUUUGGUCUUUUCAGAUGUCUGGAUAUAUUUGUUGCUUUUGUUUUGGACCCGGGUCUUGCUUAACUUGGGCCAAUUUGUACAUAUCUUUUCUGCUCCUGAAUAAAUUGGGCUCUGGUCCAUCUUCAAUUAAAAAAAAGGAAAAAUGACAUGGACUGACCAGUUUAAAAAAAGGAAAUUUUGCAUAUAUACCGACAUGUUUACUCUUAAUUACCAAAAAUUUCAACAUUUUUCAAAAUCUCCAAAAAUUCCAACAUUUGACCUCUGAUAAUACAAGUUAAUCACAUUAGAUACAUACUGUUGAUAUAUGUAUCUAAUGUGAUUAACUUGUAUCAUACAUUAGAUAUAUGUAGGGUUACAUUAGAUACAUGUAGGGUUACAUUAAAUACAUGUAGGGUUAACUUGUAUCUCAAAAAUAGUCCCAAAUAUGAAAUGUUGGAAUUUAUGUAAUUUUUCAGAAGUAGGGGGAUUUUUAGAAAUUUUGAAAGUUAUGAUGUUUAUUUAUGUAAUUUUUUGUUAAAAAGAAAAAAAAUAGCCCACACUAUGAAAAUAUGGACAAUUGGAGCCAGUAGACCCAAUUUAUUUCCUGUUUUUUCAGUCAUUUGGCCCAAAACUAUUCUCCUUACACAAUUAAGGGGAUUAAAUACUCUUCACAGUAGGCUACUCUUAAAUCACUUUUCUUUUCAAACUAUACUUUCCCAAAAAAAUGUUCACCUCUAUUAUGUGUCGAUCAAUCUACUGUGUUUUGUGAUAACAAUUGAGUUAGUAGGGCACAUGCAGUCUCUAUACCCAAUUGAUACACUUUUGUACCAUAUUGAUACAUGUUUAUACCCAAUUGAUACUCUUUAUACUACAUUGAUACACUUUUAUACUCAAUUGAUACUCUUUUAUACUAGAUUGAUACACUUUUAUACCACGUCGAUACAGUAUGUAUAUUACAUAAAUACAUCUUUUACAGAGGAAAUUUGUGCAAGCAUAUACAGUAACAAUACCAAAUUAAUACAGUAAAUCAAAAUUAGUAAGUACGAACAUAAUUGAUACUCUUUAAAAUUAUAGUAUUAAUAGUACAUAAAGUAACAAAAAAAAAGAUCAAAUCAUCUUUCCAUCAAUUAUUGUUUUGAUUUAGUUCAUUCUUUCUCCUUAACGCUCUUUUAUAUUUCUAACUUCCUCUUCCUACCUUUAUUUUCUCUUCUUUUUUUCUUUCCUUCAUUACUAAGUUAGUUGUAAACACCCAUAUGAUGAAGUAUGUAUUUACUCUUGAGUUGAUGUCAUAUUUAUCCUACUAAGAAAAAUCACAGGUUCUGUAAGGAAUUGUCUAGACAUGGAGUACAUAUAAAAAUUUAUUCUGCCACUUGAAAAAAACCUGUAAAAAACUAAUUAAAUUCAGAUUUUUUGAGAUUUUAUACAAAAUUUAUGAAAUGAGAAAGGUAAAUUGGAGUAUCGAAAAAAGGUAAAGGAACAAAUAUUUAGGAGUUUGAAUGGAAAGGAAACUGGGAAUGAAAAGAAAAGAAAGAAAGGGAAAGUUACUUCAAGGAUGUUUUUGAUUUUGUUUAAGCGUAUGACAGUGAAGGUUAGUUAGUGGAAUUACUCUGUGUCUAUUUAUGAUGUAUUUAAUUUUGACUGCUAUUUUUUUAUAUUAUUUUAGUUUUAGGUGUUAUUUCUGUCAUUUGCCCAAAAAAAAAAACUUACUAUUUUACUACAAUUCUUGUUGGUAAGAAUACAUUAUUUCUUUUUUUUUUUUAGGGCAAACAACAUAAAUUUCGAGAAUUUGGAGCUUAAUUACAGAAAAUUCUGAUAUUUUGCAUAAUUGUUGAAAAUCUCAAUUUUGGAUCUGUUGAGAUACAUUAUUAGCUUCUGAUACAAUCAAAAAGAUACAUUUUUAACUUUGUAUAGAUAUAUAAUUAGCUUCCGCUACAUAUUUUUUAAAUUUUGCGUUUGUUGAGAUAUAUAAUACAUCCAAUGAAGAUAUAUUUUUUUCUUUGUAAAGAUAUAUAAUUAGCUCCCAGUGCAGUUUUUUUAUUUUUGGGUCUGUCGAGAUACAUAAUAAGCUUUCGAUACAUCCAACGAAGAUAUAUAAUUAAUUGAGCUUUUUGUAGUUAUUUUGUAAGAGUGAAAAUUUUGUAUAAAUAUAAUAAGUUAAGAUGUAUAUUUAUACUAUUUUUCCAUAAUUUGCUUGCGAACCAAAUCGACCACUAAAGAAUUGAAAAGUUAAACAAUUUGUUCCCAAUACAGAACAAACUUUAGCCUAAAAUUUAAUGCUAAAAAUUACUACAAUGAGCUGAGUGGCUGAAAUGGUGCCACUUAAGAAUAAUUUGGUGGAUGAAAUGAAUGAAUUGUUUUGGAGUACAAAUUUUGAUUUAGACAAUCUAUUGAAAUUUAUUAUAGUACUGUUUAUAUUUAGGGGCCAUUUUUCAGGAUCUAUGAAAAAUUUAUAAUGUUGAGUAGAACAUACUAUAAAAGUAAUGUUGGAUAGAGCAUAUCACACAUUAGCACAAUCCUAAUCAAUAAUGAUAGCUAUUCAUCUCUAGUUCACUUUUAUAGUUAAUCAAAGAAUUAUUAACAACGAAAAUUAAUUUUCUUGUUUUGGUUUUCUAUCAUUGAAUCAGCAAUAGUUUGAUAUAAGAACUAUUCAGAACAGACUAAAUUAAAGAGAAAGAUGGAAUACCGUCAAUGAAAAUAAUAGGAUAUGAUAUCUUCAAAGAUAAAGAAGGCAGUGAACUUUUUACACAUAUAAUACGUAUAAUUAUUAAAGAAUAUAAAAGAAAUUAAAAAAAGGACAUACAGUACAUAUAUAAACUGGAAAAGAAGAUCAAUAAUGUAAAAGUUUGAUGUUAACACUGUUCCUUAAUUAAAAUUUCCAUAAUGAUUAUACUCGCUAUUUUCUUUCAUUUGCACAAAUCAAUAUGCUCCUUUCCCCCCUUUUUUUCUCCUGAUCACUCCUUAAAGAACGAGACAUAUAGCAUACAUAGAGAAGAGAGUACUUUGUCUCCCUCAAUAAAUACCUUGAGAAAAAAAUGUAACUCAUUAGUAGUUUCUUGAUUUUGUAAAAUUUUCUUUAUUUAAAAAAGAGUAACAUUGGAAGAAGGUCAUUAGUAUCUUUUUUAUUAUCUAAAACAACAUUUAUUAUCUUUUUUAUUAUCUAAAACAACAUUUAUUAGGAGCAAAAUAAAAAAGCUAAACAACCACUUAUUAGAAACAGAGGGAGUACUAAUUAUCUGAUAGUGUUUUCAGUGUUACGCAUCAUGAACUAAAAGCUUAAUUUAAGAAGCAUUGACUGCUUAAUGAAAUCUUUUAAUUCACAAUGAUAAUAAGGAAAUCCAAUUUGUGUUGUAUCAUUCUAGCCUUUCCAUUUUUUAUGGAGACAAAGCAUUAAUAGACAAAUGGAGAUUGGACAUAUCAAGAUUUCAGUCUCAUCCUGUCAAAUCAUUAAUUGUAAAACCUUCAUGUAUUUCUAUGUUCAGCCUAAGAUAUUAAGGGGUUAAUAUUCUUUCAAAACAUGGAGAGUUUCUGAUAUUGGGAGACAUGGUUGUUUGUCGAAUAUAUUUAUUUCUCAAUAAUUGAAAUAUAUAAUUGUAUUUGAUGUGAAGAAAGUAUUAGUUAAAAUGCAGUUUGGUUCAUUUUGGCUAGGGAUUCCAUCCUUUCCAUGUAUAAAAGUUUUUGAAUGUAAGGAUGAGAAAUCAAGGUAUCUGCUACACUUUUUUUAUAUAUACGUGUAGCGCAUGUAUCGAGAAAUUAGUAAAAGAAAAAAAAAAUUCCUCAGCUAAUUCUCAAUCAACACCAACUCCAUCUUAGGAAAGUGUGGUUGGUUCUGUUCUUCCUCGAAUUCAAUGAAUUUUUGUCAUAUUGUCAUACAUAUAACGAAUAAUAUAUAUAUNNNNNNNNNNNNNNNNNNNNNNNNNNNNNNNNNNNNNNNNNNNNNNNNNNNNNNNNNNNNNNNNNNNNNNNNNNNNNNNNNNNNNNNNNNNNNNNNNNNNNNNNNNNNNNNNNNNNNNNNNNNNNNNNNNNNNNNNNNNNNNNNNNNNNNNNNNNNNNNNNNNNNNNNNNNNNNNNNNUAUGCCUCUUUUCCUCUUUAAAUUUUAAAGUAAUAAUUAAGAAGAAAAAAGAAGAAGAUACUAUUCAAUAAUUUAAUUCUGAUACCAUCAACAUGGAAGACUCCAUUUGCUUCAUCUAACAAUGGACUUUGGCAUUAUAUAAUUAACAAAACAAUUAAUUAUUAGGAUAACUUAAUCACCGACAAAGGUUUCUUACUAUUAUCCUUAUGAGAUUCCACUAGUUAAGCUAAAUAUUUUUAAUCGACGUAAGAGUUAUGAAUGUAUAAACAAGUAGAUCUUAGCUACAUUGACCUAGUCAAUCAUUAUUAUUACCGACAUAUUUAUGCUAUACAAAUAUUUGUCCUAAUGCUAUCUUUUAUUUAUUUUUUUAAUGGAAAAGGGUCAAAAAGAUUCCUGAAUUAUUCGAAGUGGAGCAAAAAUAUCCCUCAUUAGUUUUUUGUCUCAAAAGUAUCCCUCUCUAAUGAAAUAACACCAAGCAUGUCAUGUAGACAAAAUACGUCACUUGAACAGUUCACGUCAGAUCGACCAUCUUUAUUAAAGGUGAAUGCUCCAUUAAAUGAGAGAUUUUCCAUGUGGAUAUUGGCGCCUAGCGUGGACUGUUCAAGUGGCGCUUUUUGUCCACGGACAUACUUAGUAUCAUUCUGUUAGAGAGAUGAAUAGUUUUGAGCCAAAAAUUUAAUGGAGGAAUAGUUGUAAGCAAAAAAAUUAACGAAAGAUAUUUUUACUUUAUUUCAAAUAAUUUAGGAAUAUUUUUAAUCGUUUUUUGCUUUUUUAUGAUUUCUAAGUUGCUUAUAAUUUUUUUAUUACUACAUGAUUAACAAUAUUUUUUUAUUUCCAUAAAUAACAGAGAGUAAACUAAGUUGCACCUUAAUGGUCGAAAAGUAUUCACUAUUUUUUUUAGACUUAAAGAGGUGAUUCUGAUACAUGUCUUAUGAACAAUCAUUACAAAUUUUAUUAUUUUAAAUUUUGUUUUAGAUAAGUCUAUGAUUAAGUUGUUGGUGACCAAUUUAUUCAAUUGAGUGAGGCUGGCAUGUCCAAAGAUUUUAGGACGAAGAAACGGGUUAUUAUGUUAAUUAGGUAGAUUUAUUUUAGGGAGAAAUAAGACAUAUGCUUUAAUUUGUAAAUAUUAAUAAGUAUUUUUCCAUUUAAGCAUAGCUUCUUUUAAAUUUAAAUUAGUAAUCAAACAGUGUUUAGUAGUAUUUUCUACCUUGUUGGCUUUGUCACACAUUUGAGAGAUGCUAAAAAUGUGUAUUAAAAAAAAAAUAAGAUGGAAAGAGAAGCAUACUGGCUCAAAGGUAAAGCCGCUAAAACGUGCUUUAAGGUUCAAAAAUAGUAUUUUUAUUAUAUAAUUAGUCUCUCCUAUGUUUUACAGUUUAUAGUCUAUAUGCAAUAAAUCAAAUUCUAUUAUAUAAUUUUUUAUAUAAAAAUAAAAGUUUCUUUAAAGUUAUUAAAGGAUGUCCAUUUGUUGUAAUAAAAUACAUUGAUUUUGGUUCUCAGAAUCCUAUUGGUACAUAAUAAACUUUGGCUAUUUUAAUUCAAAGUUUUAAAAUAUCAAAUACAAUUCUAUAAUCUUUAACUAAAAAUUUAAAAAUAAGAUUAUUAAACUUCCGAUGAUAUGAUUGUAUAAGAAAAUAAUAAACAUUUUAAAAUGUUAUUGUAACUUUAUAUAAUACAUGUAACAGUAUUUUUCUAGUGAUUAUAAGAAGAAUUUUAUUGAAAAAUCAAACGUAAUUGUAACUUGCGGUAUUGAAAGUAAAAUUUGAUGGCGAGGAAAAUAUGAGUCCAUUCUUAUGUCAUUAAAAUUUAUAAACCUUUUUAUUAAGAUGACUUGAAAAUGGUAUUUAACUAUAUAUAAUUUAUAAUUUUUUAAUUAUCAUAAAUAAAAUAUUUCAUUUUCGUGAUAUUUUAGUUUGGAUUGCUUUCUAUCUAUCAUUAAUGACAAAAUACAUCGUCAGACCCCUUAAAUUGACACCAUUUUUCACUUUGGCAUCUUAAGUGGACAUUGUUCACCUUUGGCAGUUCAAAUAACCAUAAAGUGUAUCAUUUUGACAUCUUUCGACAUCAAUAAAAGUGUGUGUUACACUCACUGUCAACGUGGAUAAAACGGCCAACUGAUUUAUGCCAAUUCAUUUAAAUUGCCACAUCAUUAUUUAUAUUCACAAUUAGUUUUAAAAAAAAUAAAAUCAAAACAUAUGGCAAUUAAUGACAUAAUUAUCUAACUCAUUAAUAUAUAUACAAAAUUAAAUUAAAAGAAUCAAUUAAUUACUGACACGUGACAUUUUUCAAAAUAAUUAUAAAAUUAUUUAUUUUAUUUGGACAACCCUCCACCCACCUCCCACCCCCAAACUCCAAAGUCAUCUUCUCUACCACCAUCUAUCCCCCCGAUACCCCCCACCCUAAAUCAUCUUCUCUAUUUGGCAACACCCCUCUUCCCGUCAUGUUCUCCAUCUCCCUCCCCCCCCACCACCCCCAACCCCUGCCUGAGUCAUCUUAUCCUCUCCAUUUGCCCCUUUGAAAAGAUGAACACUCAAUCAAAGAUUAUAGUAUAUAUGUAUAUCAAAGACCUUGAUUAGUCAUAGCUUGACCUCAAAAAUUAGAAGGCAUUAAAUGACUGUUUUUUUUCUUAACAAAAAAUAAAAAAGAAAUGAUUGACCUUGAAAUAUAUUCAUCAGUAGUAUGUGUGAACCUAUUCUUUGGCAACGCAGUGGUCUUCUUACUACUUCAGUUGCAGUCAUAACAUGUUGACAAAGAUGGUGAUUGCUCAACAACAAAUCACUCGUUGUUGUUAGUGUGUUAGUGUGUUUCGUUAUUCUUGAAAAGUUCAACCUCCAUUAAUGGAAGUUAAGCUAAAGAAAGGUUGUGUGAAGAAGGCAAUGUGAGGAAAUUUUUUGUAAUUAUUUGGUCAAUAAAACAUGUGCCAUUAAUUUAUUGGAUCAAUUUUUACUGAUUUGGCAAUAGAGAUUUUCAAUAGUUUUAAAAAAAAUUUAAAGAUGAAAAAUUACAAAAAUAUCCCUAAAAAUUUAUGAAAAUACUCUUCAAACGCUCCAAAAAGUGAGCAACGUCCACUUGAAGUGCCAAAAUGAAAGAUAGCACCAAGUUGAGGACCGACAAUAUAUUCUUUCUUCAUUAAUUAGUGCAUGUACUACUCCUGUACUCCAUUGGUUUUGAUUUUUUCUUGUUCCUGCACAUUAUUUCUCCUUUUUUACUGUCUAUAUAGUACUAUUUUUUAACUUAGUAUGUUGAAAUUAAUUAUUUUUUAUUUGCAUAUGAAAAAGAAAUACUUAACUAGAUUGAUUCUUAUUCGUAUAUAAAAAGUUAAAAUAGUGAAAUUCAAGAAAAAUAUAUGAAUUUUAUAUUUGGCUUUAGAUGGCUAAUUAUAUUAAGCCGCCCUUGAAGGGACGGUGAAUUGUAAUAUUUUUUGUGGUUGACUAUGAGGCGAGCUAUAAUAUGAAAUCAAAUAAGUAACAUAGUAUAAUUAUGUGCUAAGUAAUGUGUCAUAUGAUAUUUUUCAAUUGAUUUGAAUUCAGUGUGAAUUAUAGUUAGUCCUUCCUUUUGGAUUUUUGUUAAACUGAAAUUUUCAUUUUUAUUACAUAGAGAGAGAAGUUAUAAAAAGGAUGAUUACAACGUGUUGUAACUUUUCAGGACGAAGAACAACAAGUCAUUGUUUUAUUAAAGAGGGAUUGUCCCUUGUCCAUAUCAGCUUUCAAGAAAAUAACAGAACAAAUGUUGAAUCUACUACUAUGAGAAAUUCAUCAUUUGUUUUGUUGGAGUUAGCCAAUGUCUGCUUUCUCCUUCCUAAUCCUAAAAUUAGCCAAACCAACUUUAUCCAACCUAUAAGUCCUUUAUAUUCAUCAUUAAGCUCUUGAAAUUGUUGUUGAGUACAAUGUUGAGGGUGUACUUAAUUUCUAAUCAUACAAUAGCGGUCUUUUUCACUCUUUGUAGUUGAUAUAUUGCCUCACCAAACACUAUUUUCCUCUCUUCGCUCUUUUUAAAUACACAAUAAAUGAAUUAGGAAGUUACAAUGCUUGUUAAGAAUAGCAUAGAGCUUUGGAGAAUGUUUGGACAGGAUGUACAGUUUCUUUUCCUAGAAGGCAUAUAUAGUCUUUGUGUGCUUGAUGUCUUGAAAAAGGAUAGAGAAAGACAAUCCAUACUACAUGAAAAAUAUUGAAUUGAGACAUAAUAUUUAUCAAUGGACAAGUCUGGCAUAGAGUUUAAACGGAUUUGUGAUAGAAUUAACUAAUUUAUAGUGUUGAUUUUAAUUUUUUCAAAAAUAAAUCAUAAAAUAGAUUGCCUAGCUUGACGUGUUAUGUGAUAUUAUGCAUAGAUUAAGUCCAUUGGAGGUUGUCUGAUUAGAGAAUCGGACAAUGCUUAGCAUGGGAAUUUCAUUGAAUAUGGAGCUAAGUGAGACUUUAAUCUCUCAUUUACUUGCUUUUUCAAAAGCAUUAUUUAAAACUGAGAAAUCGCUUCAAACUACUCCUCCACCCCAUUUUAGUUGGGCACAUUCUAUUUUAUACGGUGAUUAAGAAUCAUAAAUUGAAUGAUAAAUUUUACGAUCUUACCCUUUACUCAUAUUAAUGUUAUUCGUUGGGCAUAAGAAUGAACAUUGAAAUUGAAAUUGUUAACAUUUAAUAUAUACUAAAAAUUGUAGGGGAAAAAUAAAAAAAUAAUUAAUUUUAUCCUAAUUUAGUAAGUGGUCUUUUUUGGUGGGCUGAAACGCAUUAAAAAGAAAUAGCGGAGUAUUACAGUAGCACCUGGAUUAACCAGGAUCUACAAAAUUUGAGUUUGAGCUUAUGCCCUCUAAUGAAACAUUACAACACCUUGUUUGCCUAAUGAAACUAGUUCCUAGGAUGUCAGCCCAGGUAGCUUUGCAGCAUACAUUGGAGGAAUUACAAAAGAGUUUCUCUGUCCACAAACUUUCAGUCUUGCUCCUUCCUUAGCUAAUGCAUCCUUCACCAUAUUCUGCUCUUUAUAGCAGUGCUGGAUUUGUGGUCGUCCCAGACUCCUGAUUAGCAACCUGCAUCCAUUAAUUAUGGCAUUAUAGUGGAGGUUUCCCUCUUUGAGCAUAAUAAUAACCUUUUUCGAGUCUACAUUGAUGUCCACGGGAACUAAGGACAUUUCCUCCAUAAUUUUUAGUCCCUUUAGUUGAGCAAAGAGCUCCAUCUGGUUAUUAGUAAUCACAGGGAAAACUUUUUUGAAACCUGUAGUCCAAUUCCCUUCAUUGUCUCUAAUAACCCCUCCAAUACCACCCCUACCAGGAUUUCCCAAACAUGAGCCAUCAGUGUUAAGUUUAAAUCUUUCUUUAGAGGUUGGUUCCCACUUAACACUAAUGUUCAAUAAUCUAUUUGUCACGACCUGAAUCAAGGUCUGGCCGUGAUGGGCAUCCCUAGCCAACCAAGGUCGGAGAUGACCCCUAACCUUACCUCAAGAGCACAUCAGUAAAAACAAACAACAAAAUCCAACCAAGAUAAAAAGAGAAACAUAUGAUUCCAAAAGAAAGUUAAGAGUCAAAACCAACUCCAUAAUAAUAUCCCGACACUGCCUACAAAAGUCUCUAAUCCAAAAAUACCAACUAAGUCAAGACAUGUCCCCGACUAUAACAAAAGAAAUUCAAAAGUUCUGAAAUGAUAAAUGUAACUAAGAAAGAGGCCAAGUCUUUUGAUAGUUCAUAAGUUGGUUGAACUUGUGUUGAACUUAUUGUGGAUUAAAUACAAAUUUUGUACCCAGAAUAACAAUCUUAAGGAAUUUAUUAAUAAUUUUAAUUUUUGAGUUUCUAGAGAUUAAAACUUUUUGCUUUCUACGCUGUUUGAACUUUAUAGUGAUUUGAAGUUAUAAAAACUUCAUCACGGGUUAAUGUUCAUUCAGUUGAUGAUUAGAAGAACAUAAAAGCUUCAACAUUAAACUAGAAAUAAGUUGUUUAAAGUUUUUAAAACUUUAUUCUUAGUAUUUUGACUUACUAAAUUGGUUGUCUUUUUGUCACAGUAAAAAUGAUUAUUGAAAAUCAAGUUAAUGAUGGAAUGGUCAAUGUCACAACAACAAAUAUUGCUACUUAAAAUCGUUCAAAUGCUGCUCCGCCAAGGCACUGACAGAAAAAUCAGAAAGUUUUCUAGUGUGGAUUUUAAAAGAUGGCAGCAGAAGUUGUUCUUUUAUCUGACUACAUUAAAUCUACAAAGGUUCAUCACUGAAAGCAUUUCAGAGUUUUCGAAAGAAAUAUCCAAAAAUAUACUUUAUUACUACAAAAGCUUGAAAGCACUUGAAUUUUUUAUAUAAGAACUACAUACUGAGUGGCUACAACAUGGCAUGUACAAUGUGUACAGCAAUAUGAAGACCUCUAAGGAACUAUGGGUAGCUUUGGAAAAGAAGUACAACAUAGAGAAUGCAUGAAUGAAGAAAUUUAUUAUUGCAAGAUUUGUAGAUUUUAGGUGGUAGACAGUAAUACUGUAGUUACCCAAGUUCAAGAACCGCAAGUCAUCAUUCAUGAUCUCCUCACCAAAGGUAUAAAUUUGUUCUUGAUACUUACAUAGUCUCUGAUGUAGGCUUAAUUGUGAACGAGGCUUAUCAAGUAGCUGCUAUAAUCGAGAAGUUACCACAUUUGUGGAAAGACUUCAAAAACUACUUAAAGCACAAGCACAAGGAGAUGUCUUUCGAAGACCUUAUUGUGAGGUUAAGAAUCGAAGAGGACAAUAAAGCAUCAGAAAAGAGGUCUCGAUGGAAUUUACAAUAAGUAGAGAAAAUAUUGUGGAAGACGACCCCCAAUAAAUUAAAGAGAGAAAGGAAGCGUCAGGACAAUAAGGCAAUCCUCCUAAGAAGAAAUUCAAAGAAAAUUAUUUUAACUGUGACAAAGUUGGCCACAAGUCUUCAGAUUGUCAGGCUCCUAAGAAGGACAAGAAAAGAGGAUCAAGCUAACAUGGUUGAAUCCAAGAUGAUGUGGAGAUCUAUGUGCUAUGCUUUUGGAGUGCAUGUUGGUUGAAAAUCCUAGAGAGUAGUGGAUUAAUUCAGGUGCCACUAGCCACAAUGUGCCAACAAAAAAUUAUUUCCAUUAUAUUUUCUGGCUCAGGCUAAUGAGAACAUAUUCACGGUAACUCUGUUACGGUAAAGAUUGAAGGAAAAUGCAAGAUUUACUUGAAGAUGACAUUGGGCAAGGUGGUGACACUAAACAACGUCCUUUAUGUUUCAAAGUUGCGAAAGAACUUAGUUUCUACUUCACUUCUAACUAAAAAUAGAUUCAAAUAAGAAUUUGUUUCUGACAAAGCUGUAAUUAGUAAGCAAGAAGUGUAUGUAGGUAAAGGUUACUUCAUCGAGGAUUUUUUUAAGAUCAGUGUAAUAAAUGUUGAAAUCAAUAAAAAUUCUGUUUCUUCUUACUUACUUGAGUUAAAUGAAUUAUGGCAUGAACAUUUAGGACAUAUUAAUUACAAAACUUUGCAAAAACUGAUUAAUUUAAAAAUUUUGCCUAACUUUGAGUGUAAUAAAUCAAAUUGUCAAACAUGUGUGGAAUCUAAGUAUGCUAAGCAUCUAUAUAAGUCUGUUGAAAGGAAUUUCAAUCCCUUAGACUUAAUCCACACAAAUAUUUAUGCUAUGAAGUCAAUACCAUCUCAUGGUGAGAAAAAGUAUUUCAUAACUUUUAUUAAUGAUUGCGCUAGAUAUUGUUAUUUUUAUUUGCUAAAUGAUAAGAAUAAAGUAAUAGACGUAUUUUGGUAAUAUAAAACUAAAGUUGAAAACCAGUUGGAUAAAAAGAUCAAAAUAAUAAGAAGUAAUAGGAGUAGAGAGUAUGUAUCUUCUUUUGCAGGGGUAUGUUAGAAAAAAGGAAUUAUCCAUCAAACUAAUUUCCCGUAUUCACCUCAAUCAAAUGGGAUUGUGAAAAGAAAAAUUGAAUGUUAAAGAAAAUAAUAAUUGUCUUACUCAUAAGUUCAGAUAUACCGCAAAACUUGUGGGGGGAAGUUAUCCUUACAGCAAAUCGAAUACUCAAUAGAGUUCCCUAUAAGAAGACACACUCUAUCCUAUAUGAAAAUGAAAAGGAAGGAAACCCAACUUGAAAUAUUUCAAAGUGUGGGAUUGUCUAGCUAAAGUCCAAGUCUAUAUACCUAAAAGGAUAAAAAUAGGACCAAAGAUUGUGGAUUGUGUGUUCAUCGUAUAUGCUACAAGGAGUAAAGCAUUUCAAUAUUUGGUUCAUAAAUUCGAACCAUGAAAAUACGAUAAUCUGAAUCAGAUAAUAUUAAGUUCUUUGAAUACAUUUAUCCGUAUAAAAUUGGACAUGAGAUGUCUAGUGGAGGAUCUAAACAACCUCGAGAUGAACCAAAGGAGAAUGUACUUAAUAAUGAGAAUCAAGGUGUAGUACACGUCAAAUACCGUCAAUUUUCUUUGGAUAAGAUUUUGUAACAUUUCUUCUUGAAAAUGAGCCUUAAAAAUUGAAAGAAACGAUGUCGUCUUCAGACCCAUCCUUUUGGAAAGAGGCAAUCAAUGGUGAUAUAGAUUCAAUCUUGAGCAACCAUACUUAGGAAUUGAUUGAUCUUUCUCCGGUAAAUAAACCUUUAGGUUCUAAAUGGAUCUUCAAAAGGAAAAUAAAAGCUAGUGGUACUUUUGACAAUUAUAAGACAAGACUUGUUGUGAAAGAUUUUAGACAAAAAGAAGGCCUUUAUUAUUUCGAUACAUACUCGCCAAUAACAAGGAUAACGUUCAUUCAGAUGUUGGUUGCGUUGACGACAGUAUAUGAUGUUGAAAUUCAUCAAAUGGAUGUGAAUACAACGUUCUUAAAUAGAGAAUUGAAGGGAGAAAUUUACAUAAAACAACCUAAGGGUUUUGUAGUUUCUGGUAAAGAAAAGAAAUUGUGCAAACUUGUUAAAACACUUUAUGGAUUAAAACAAGCACCCAAAUAGUGGUAUAUAAAAUUUGACCAAACCAUGUUGGCAAACGAUUUCAGGAUAAACGAAUGUGAUAAAUGUGUUUACAUUAAAGACACUCCAAAUCACAAAGUCAUUAUUUGUUUGUAUGUGGAUGACAUGUUGACCAUCAGUAGAGACAUUCUAACAUAAAUGCUAUGAAAUAAAUGCCUGAGGGCAAGUUUGAUUUGAAAGACCUUAGAGUUGCUGACGUAAUCUUAGGGAUAAGAAUUUUUAGAACUCCAUAGGUAUUGGCGUUGUCACAGUCGCAUUACAUUGAAAAGGUGUUUGACAAGUUCAAGCAUUUAGAUUUCAAUAUUGUUGAGACUACAUUAGACAUGAGUUUUGCAUUUCAAAAGAAUGAAGGUGAAAGUAACUCACAGUUGGACUAUGCAAGAGUGUUGAAAAGUUUGGUGUAUAUAUCAUAAAUUGUACGUGAGAAGACAUAGAAUGCACUAUUAGUAAAUUAAGUCGGUAAAAGACUACUCCUAAUCAAACUCAUUGGAUGGAUAUGAAAAAAGUUUUAGGGUAUCUAAAACAUACCCAAGACUAUGUUUUUAUUAUAACAAAUAUCCAGCGUAGAUGAGGUGACUUUUCAAAAUAAUGUAAUUUUUCGUGAACCAUUACUUUCUUUCUGAAGCACCACAUUGUGGCUAUAAAUGCCUGAAUUUUUCCUCUGAUAAAGGUAUGAAGAUUUGAAGGGAAAAACAUUUUCUUUUUCUUCUUAAAACUCUGGUAUGAUCUUCAAACUAUUGAGUGAGUUCGUUGUUCAGAAAAUUUGAGGUACCACUAUUUUUUGAAGAGAAUCAUUUUUCGUAGGGAGGAUAUAUUCCUUUAACCUCGAGUACUUGACUAGAAUAAUUUUUUUAAGGAUACAUCGUGAAUUCAGUGGAUUUGACUCAAUCGUUUCUGUCUUCAUCCCAUUUUCUUAAAGUUGGUUUUAUUAUUUUUCCAGAAAAAUAGUUUGAACAUUAUAUUGAUAGUUCUUCAUUUGUUUGAACUUGUGUUUGAAGUUUUUGAAACUUCAUUUUGAUAGGUUAUAAGUUGUUGAACUUGUGUUGAAGUUAUUGUGGAUUAAAUACAGAUUUUGUACAAAAAAUAAUACGAAAUAGCUGUGAAACCUUGGGGAGCGACCAACUAAAAGAAUUUGCACCGAAGUCGAUCCGAAAUCACUUUCAAAGUAAUGGCUUACCACGACACAAUAUUUUCAGUUCCAUAUUAAUAUUAGAGUAAUUUUUCCAACAAGUGGCAAAGUUUGUUAUUUAACUACAAAAUUUGUUCGUCAACAAAUCCUUGUUUUUCUUUUGUUGGGUAGUAUAUUUUGGUUUUAUCUAAUCAAUCUAUUGACAAGCUAAGCGCCUACGAAAACGAUGUAGAUGUUCUACCUACGGGGGCGGGGGGGUGUCUAUUACAAUUACAAAAAUAAACUGAAUGUUGAGUUUCAGUUCCACUAACACCUUGCAAAAGUGAAUUACCCAUGAAAGAUGGGGGUAUUAUAUCAAAAAAAAAAAACAUAUCUUUUGUUGUUUUCUAAUUUCUAACGAUAUAUUUUUGAUCCAUUGCUUUCCCAUAGUAUGCUAACUUGACAGCCACUUUUUUUUGCUUUUCUAUAUACGUGGAACACUUUUUUUUUCGUCAAAAUGCGAAUCAUAAUUUAAUCCGUCAAUUUUUACUAAAUUGUAAUUGUCUUUUUUUUUUUAUAAACAGAGAUAGCAGGUAACCCAAGAAAAAAAAAUGUCUAGCAGAACAUAUUACGCAUCCUCGAAACUACUAUGACCUAUAAAACUAGAUGAUAAAAAAAUUGGUUUUAUCAUACUGGCACACUUGUAGAUGUUCCAUAAUUCAUGUAAAUUUACUUCAGAUGAAUUGUAGUUUUUGUGUUCAAAUUCAUAUAAAAACGAAAUGAUUUAAGUUUCGUUCUUUGAAUAUCGCCAUACAGAAAUAAAAUAGAACAAGGGGAGUACUUUUCUAGGUCUCUAUUUGAUAUUUUAUCAGUAACAAUUUGAAAAUAGUCAUAACUCAUACACGUAGUAGUAGGUGGAAAUGUUUCUGAUUGAAUUCGGCAUAAAAAUAUUUUUAUGGAAAAAAAGUUUCUUCUAGUUUUGGUUUAUAAGUGGAUCAAUUUUUGUGGAAAAAAAGUUUCUGCUAGUUUUGGUUUCUAAGUGGAUCAUUCCCUAGCGCUCUACUAAAUGAUUUAAUUUUAUAUAAAGAAGAUGAAAUUAUAAGAAAAAAGAGAAAAAAGAAAAAGACUAGAGAUCUAAAGAAGGGAAAACUUAAAGUAUGUGGUAAUAACUUCUUUUAUUCAUCACAUAAUCUCUGCAUUUUGCAAGGAGAUUGAAACUGAGCAAACAUACACAAAGACAUAAAAGUAAAAAUACAAAUAUAAAUAGAGUACAAACAAUAUCACUAAUAACUUAGAGAACAUGAAGCUACAAAAGAACUUCGCCUCCCGUGGGGCUUAUUGUUUACUCUUUUUUCUUCUUUUUGGCAUUGCCUCUCGAAAUGGAAAAUGCCUUUCCUUGAGCUCAACAUUCUGCUUUUCCUGCAUAAGAAUAUAAUAUUGUCAAUGAGAACAUAUAGUAACUGAUUAAUAAACCUAAUAAGUAGGAGAUAGCAUAGGCUUAUAUAUUAAUGCGUUUGCAUGAAGAAAUUGUGCAACUUGUAUUGAUUUGCAUUUAGACAAAUCAUUUUUAAGAAUUUUAGUUUGGCUUAAUUACCUUAGAUUUGAUGUUGUUGUUUCUUAGUGAUGGUAGGGAGGAGGUGGAGACUUGUAAACCGGAGUUGGUGGUGGUGGAGACUUGUAUACUGGUGCAGGAUGGUGUGGUGUUGGUGAAGGAUGGUAUGGAUUCACUGGUGGUGGUGACUUGUAAACGGGUGUUGGUGGUGGUGGAGAUUUGUAUACUGGUGCAGGGUGGUAUGACUUCACUGGUGGUGGUGGUGACUGGUAAACGGGUGUUGGUGGUGGUGGAGACUUAUAAACUGGUGCAGGAUGAUAUGGCUUCACUGGUGAUGGUGGUGACUUGUAAACGGGUGUUGGUGGUGGUGGAGACUUAUAAAUUGGUGUGGGAUGAUAUGGUGUUGGUGGAGGAUAGUAUGGCCUCUUAGGUGGUGGUGGUGACUUGUAAACUGGAGUUGGUGGUGGUGGCGACUUGUACACUGGAGUGUGUGGCGGGUAGUAUGGCUUUUUGGGUGGUGGUGGGGACUUGUAAACUGGAGUUGGGGGUGGUGGAGACUUGUAAACUGGGGUGUGUGGAGGGUAGUGUGGUGGUGACUUGUAAACUGGAGUCGGGGGUGGUGGAGACUUGUAAACUGGGGUGUGUGGAGGAUAAUGUGGCUUCUUUGGUGGUGGUGGGGACUUGUAAACUGGAGUGUGUGGAGGAUAGUGUGGCUUCUUCGGUGGUGGUGGUGACUUGUAAACAGGAGUUGGUGGUGGUGGCGACUUGUGAACUGGUGCGGGAUGAUAAGGUGUUGGUGAAGGGUGGUAUGGCUUCUUAGGUGGUGGUGGAGAUUUGUAAACAGGAUGAUGAUGGUGUGGUGGAGGGGACUUAUAUACUGGGUGGUGAUGGUUUGGUGGAGGAGACUUAUAUACUGGGUGGUGGGGUGGAGAUGGAUAGACAUGCACUGGUGGAGGAGGAGAUGAAUAAUGAUAAUUUGCAGAGCUUUCAGAAGCUAAGCUAAGUGACACUAAAACCACCAAAAGAGUGGCAACUAGAGAGGCCAUUUUCCCCAUAUU
rnacentral:lncRNA from 1 species